rnacentral:pre_miRNA from 1 species
CUAAAAUACAAACCCUGGUUUCCGUGUCCAAUGUUUGACCGUCCAUCUUAUUUAAAAAAAUUAUGAAAAAAAUUAAAAAGACAAGUCACGUAAAAAAUAUUAAUCAUAUUUUAUCAUCUAACAACAAUGAAAAUACGAAUUAUAAAAAAGUUUUAUAUAAGACGGACAGUCAAAGUUGAACACAGAAACCUAGGGUUUAUCUUUUU